rnacentral:rRNA from 1 species
UGGGGAAUAUUGCACAAUGGGCGCAAGCCUGAUGCAGCCAUGCCGCGUGUAUGAAGAAGGCCUUCGGGUUGUAAAGUACUUUCAGCGGGGAGGAAGGGAGUAAAGUUAAUACCUUUGCUCAUUGACGUUACCCGCAGAAGAAGCACCGGCUAACUCCGUGCCAGCAGCCGCGGUAAUACGGAGGGUGCAAGCGUUAAACGGAAUUACUGGGCGUAAAGCGCACGCAGGCGGUUUGUUAAGUCAGAUGUGAAAUCCCCGGGCUCAACCUGGGAACUGCAUCUGAUACUGGCAAGCUUGAGUCUCGUAGAGGGGGGUAGAAUUCCAGGUGUAGCGGUGAAAUGCGUAGAGAUCUGGAGGAAUACCGGUGGCGAAGGCGGCCCCCUGGACGAAGACUGACGCUCAGGUGCGAAAGCGUGGGGAGCAAACA